rnacentral:misc_RNA from 1 species
GAUGAAGAACGUAGCGAAAUGCGAUACUUGGUGUGAAUUGCAGAAUCCCGUGAACCAUCGAGUCUUUGAACGCAAGUUGCGCCCGAAGCCAUCAGGUUGAGGGCACGUCUGCCUGGGCGUCACAUAUCGUUGCCCAAUGCCUAUUGCAGUGCAAUAGGAAUUUCUAGGGCGAAUGAUGGCUUCCCGUGAGCGUUGUUGCCUCGCGGUUGGUUGAAAAUCGAGUCCUUGGUAGGGUGUGCCAUGGUAGAUGGUGGUCGAGUUAGAACGAUACCGAUCAUGUGCAUGCUCCCCAAAAUAUGGCCUCUAUGACCCACACGCGUCUUUUGACGCUCAUGACGAGACCUCAGGUCAGGCGGGGCUACCCGCUGAAUUUAAGCAUAUCAUAAGCGAGGA